rnacentral:rRNA from 1 species
GAUGAACGCUGGCGGCGUGCCUAAUACAUGCAAGUCGAGCGAAUGGAUUAAGAGCUUGCUCUUAUGAAGUUAGCGGCGGACGGGUGAGUAACACGUGGGUAACCUGCCCAUAAGACUGGGAUAACUCCGGGAAACCGGGGCUAAUACCGGAUAACAUUUUGAACCGCAUGGUUCGAAAUUGAAAGGCGGCUUCGGCUGUCACUUAUGGAUGGACCCGCGUCGCAUUAGCUAGUUGGUGAGGUAACGGCUCACCAAGGCAACGAUGCGUAGCCGACAUGAGAGGGUGAUCGGCGACACUGGGACUGAGACACGGCCCAGACUCCUACGGGAGGCAGCAGUAGGGAAUCUUCCGCAAUGGACGAAAGUCUGACGGAGCAACGCCGCGUGAGUGACGAAGGCUUUCGGGUCGUAAAACUCUGUUGUUAGGGAAGAACAAGUGCUAGUUGAAUAAGCUGGCACCUUGACGGUACCUAACCAGAAAGCCACGGCUAACUACGUGCCAGCCGCCGCGGUAA